GGGUGGUUUAGUGGCGAACGGGUGCGUAACACGUGAGCAAUCUGCCUUGGGGUGGGGGAUAACCCGUGGAAACGCGGGCUAAUACCGCAUGACCUUACGAUCUCGCAUGGGGAUGUAAGGAAAGGGGCUUAACGGCCCUGCCCUGAGAGGAGCUCGCGGCGUAUCAGCUAGCUGGUGGGGUAACGGCCUACCAGGGCAACGACGCGUAGCCGAUCUGAGAGGAUGAUCGGCCACAUUGGGACUGAGAUACGGCCCAGACUCCAA
rnacentral:rRNA from 14 species